AGGCCUUCCCACCCCCUGGAAAAGGUGCCGGGUGCCUCCCCAACUCAACAAAACUCCUCCAGCCCCGCUCAUCCCAUGCAGCUGCCGCCAGCUCCAGCACCUCUCCUGAAGCCUGUCCCGUAGCCACAGGCUGCUCCCAAACCCUGUCCUCACGGCAGCAAGCCGCCCCUUGAAUAUGCUUUAUUCUUCAUAAAUGCAGGUGCCGUUAGCAUCAGUUCGGGGAAAGAGCGGCGUCUCCAGAAGCUCCUGCGGAAGGAGGGGUUCCUGCCUGAGGGGAGCCACAGUCAUCCCUGUGGAUAACAGUUGCUUGCUCUUUCCCUCUCCCAGAGGCAGCGCUGAGGCCUCAGUUGUGGGUUCCUCUGCGGGGACGUUGUGGACUGCAUCUGGCUCAGGUGGAUGACAGUCAAGUGACUGGAGCUACAGAGGAGGAAAGGAGGCGGAGAGAAAGGGAGACAGAGAAAGACGCGUCCACACUGUCAAAUUCUCCCAGCACCUCUGACAGCGGGAGUUGCGGUCAGUGAAGAAGGAGAGGGAGGCGGUGCUCCAGGCACCAGGGCAGAGGUUCCCCUGCAGCCUGUGGUGAAGACCACGGCGAGGCAGGGUGUCCCCCUGCAGUCCACGGAGGUCCACGGUGGAGCAGACAUCCACCUGCAGCCCGUGGCGGACCCCACAUUGGAGCAGGUGGAUGUGCCUGAAGGAAGCUGUGACCCCGUGGAAAGCCCAUGCUGGAGCAGGCUCCUGUCAGCAGCUGUGGCCCCGUGGAGAGGAGCCCAUGCUGGAGCAGGGUUGCUGGCAGCACCUGUGACCCUGUGGGAGGGACCCCACACUGGAGCAGAAGAAGAGCGUGAGGAGGAAGGAGCGGCAGAGACAACAUGGGAUGAACUGACCGCAACCCCCGCUCCCCGUCCCCCUGCGCUGCGCGGGGGGAGGAGGUGGAGAAGUCAGGAGUGAAG